GGUCCUGUGGUCUGUGGUCUAGUGGUUAGGACACAUGACUCUGAAUCAUGUAACCCGAGAUCAAGUUUCGGCAGGACCU
rnacentral:tRNA from 1 species